UACGUAGGGGGCUAGCGUUGUCCGGAAUCAUUGGGCGUAAAGAGCGUGUAGGCGGCCCGGUAAGUCCGCUGUGAAAGUCGGGGGCUCAACCCUCGAAUGCCGGUGGAUACUGUCGGGCUAGAGUGCGGAAGAGGCGAGUGGAAUUCCUGGUGUAGCGGUGAAAUGCGUAGAGAUCCGGAAGAACACCGGUGGCGAAGGCGGCCUGCUGGGCAGUUGCUGACACUGAUGCGCGACAGCGUGGGGAGCAAACAGG
rnacentral:rRNA from 1 species